rnacentral:rRNA from 1 species
GGAGGAUGCGAGCGUUAUCCGGAUUUAUUGGGUUUAAAGGGUGCGCAGGCGGAGGUGCAAGUCAGCGGUCAAAUUGCGGGGCUCAACCCCGUACUGCCGUUGAAACUGCAUCCCUUGAGUGCGCGAGAAGUAUGCGGAAUGCGUGGUGUAGCGGUGAAAUGCAUAGAUAUCACGCAGAACUCCGAUUGCGAAGGCAGCAUACCGGCGCGCAACUGACGCUCAUGCACGAAAGCGUGGGUAUCGAACAGGAUUAGAUACCCUGGUAGUCCACGCAGUAAACGAUGAACACUAACUGUUCGGCCAAAGUGAUGGCUGAGUGGUACAGCGAAAGCGUUAAGUGUUCCACCUGGGGAGUACGCCGGCAACGGUG